rnacentral:snRNA from 1 species
AGCUUUGCGCAGUGGCAGUAUCGUAGCCAAUGAGGUUUAUCCGAGGCGCGAUUAUUGCUAAUUGAAAACUUUUCCCAGAAAGUCUCAAACUCAUCAGGGUAUAAACAUGGAAUAUUUUUACUUUUCUAA